AACUUUUUUUUUUUUUACUGCUUAAUCAAGUAUGGUAUUGCCCAAAAGACAGUUUAAUGCAAAUCUAAUAUUGCAGUUCAAAAAUAAAAGUUCAAAGUAUAUUCAUCCCCUCAAACAGCAUUCGGUACUUUUGGUCUUUGGCUAUGCACCAUUGAAGGGUACAAGAAGAAGCUUCAACUUUAAAAUACUAAUCCUGCUUAGUGCUUACAAUGUUCUACAGAUGGACAAGUUCUUAUUGAAACCAGAAUCUGUUUUUCUGUUUGAUAACAGUUGACAGAUAUUGUGCCUAUGGUUUCAAUGAAACAUCUAUGAUGUAAAUAGUCUUUAAUAGGAUUAACUGGGUAUACUGAAAACAUUACUCCAUGCAAAUCCUAAUACAUCCCUUCUUUUUCAAGGAACAUGCCUUAAAAUGCUGGCAUCAAUUUGAAAUUAACCUUGACUAAGCAACUUCAAAGAAACGAUCAAGCGAGGGAAGGAGAAUGAGAUAAAAGGGGCGAUCAAGAA
rnacentral:misc_RNA from 1 species